rnacentral:rRNA from 1 species
GACGAACGCUGGCGGCGUGCUUAACACAUGCAAGUCACGGGGGCUGGUGCAAACCAGUAACCGGCGAACGGGUGCGUAACACGUGAGCGACCUGCCUUAUUGAGGGAGAUAGCCGGCCCAACGGCCGGGUAAUACCGCAUACGCUUGUUUGGGGGCAUCCCUGGACAAGGAAACCUCCGGGGCGAUAAGAGGGGCUCGCGGCCUAUCAGCUAGUUGGUGAGGUAACGGCUCACCAAGGCGAUGACGGGUAGCUGGUCUGAGAGGAUGGCCAGCCACAUU